rnacentral:lncRNA from 1 species
AAUUACCCCGUCGAAGACCUUCUCUCACUUUCCACAUCUGAAAAUUGGAAUCAAAACUCAAAAAUCAAAUAAAUCGAAAACAGAAGAAAAAUCAAAAAAAAUUCUAAUAUUCCAUUGAAGUUAGAGAUUGAUUUCAGUUUCUAUUUGUCAAUUCACAUUUUGUAAUUACUAUUGCUGCUUGUUGAAGUGUAGAGGUUCAUUUCAAGUGCAAUUGAAUCAAAUUAAGUGGGUUUUUCGGCUAAGUUUUGCACCAGUGAAGUUUCAUAAGGGUUUAAGUUCGGAUUUGAACUAGUUUGGGUAUUUUACUGGUUGUCUAUGCAUUGAUGUUCACUUGAUUGGUUUGUUGCUGUGUUGAAGUGGAUCUGCUAAACUCUGUUUGAUUUAAACAUUUCUGGGUUGCUCAUUCUAUUUCCUGGGCUGUUUUUAGUAUUGAACUGUUGUUGCUAUUCACCUGCUCCUCCUGACUCUUGUUUCUUCUUGCUGUGAUUUAAAAUCCAGGUACAUAUGCACUACCUAUACUGAUCUGGAGUGUAUGAAUUGUUUGAGAAAAUCAAUGAAGAAGAAGUUUGGUUUAUUUGUCUGACGUUCGUUGGAGUUUUGACCAGCUUUUCAUGUUUAGUUUAACUGUUCAUACUUAAUUGUGAUUAGAACAUUUGUUUGGACUAUUGAAUUUGUACCAUUUGGACCGAAAUGGAUGAAUUAAGAAUUAUUGGUAUUAUCUAAAUUUAACAUUGUGAGUUUGAGUGGUAAUUAAGUUCAUGUGGAGUUGGUAAAAUAAUCUAGGUUCAGCAUCAGUCAUUUCCCAUCCUAUGUUUCGUGGAUUUGCUUGGAAAGUGAUUCAAUGGUAGAAUAGCUUUUAAGUAGGUGAUUUUCGUUUUUGAUCUGUAAUUAAAAAGGGAAUUUGAAUAGUACAAUUCACGUCUACUAUGAUAACUGAAUAAUUUAGUCAUAUAGAGUGGGGUCCAGGUUAAAGUUAGAAUAUUUAUUUGUGUACAAAUCAUUAAGUCCAUAUGUGUGCCUUCUAGUCAUUAUCAAAAGAAAUCUAUUUAUCAAAAAAAAAAAAAAAAAAAAAAAAUUUAUCAAUAAUCAACAAACAUAAUUAAACUAUUAAAAAAAAAAACUUUUUAAAAAAAAAAAAAAAAAAAAAAAGAGUAGUUUGCAAUUUGGUUAAGCCAAGUGACAAGUUAAAAUGAAGCCACUUGACAAUUAUAAGACAACAUAAAAAAUUUGGAUAAUAAAUGGAAAAAUAUUUAAUGAAAGUAGUAAUCCAAGAUUUUCUAAGGUAUAUUUAAUUAAAUUUGUGUAAAAUUCAGUUAUGGUAGGUAUCCUUUU